rnacentral:rRNA from 1 species
UACGGGAGGCAGCAGUAGGGAGUUUUCGGCAAUGGGCGAAAGCCUGACCGAGCAACGCCGCGUGAGUGAUGAAGGUCUUCGGAUUGUAAAGCUCUGUCAGGAGGGACGAAUUCUGCGAUCAGGAAAUGGGUUGCAGCUGACGGUACCUCGUAAGGAAGUGACGGCUAACUACGUGCCAGCAGCCGCGGUAAU